UUAGAGUUAAAAAUAGGAAAUAUACUUAAAUUCGGUCCAAAAAUGAGUCUAAAAUAGGCCCAGAAAAGGGCCAAAGAUGAAGCCCAAACCAAUAAAUCGAACCGGACCAGUUUGGCUUUGGUUUGAUCCUGUUUUCUUCCUAAUUCAGUUUGAUUUCGUUUGAUUUGUUAAAAAUUUCAAUUUGUUUGGUUUUCAAUUUUUCAGUGCGAAUUGACGAAUGCUUUCCCCUAGCAAGGGGUGAAAGUUUUGAAUCAGAUAUCCUCCCCUAGAAUGACCAGGAAAAGAAAAUGAGAAUGAUAGAAACUAAAAGCGAGUUGCAGAGGCCAAAUAUUCAUACUUGCUUAGUAACAUUCUAUGUAUUGAGCUUUUCAGCACACUUGUAUUAUGGGUGCACUUGCUAUAAAAGCUUUGUCUAAGAAUUCAUCUGGCUUUUUUGGUACUAUUUUUUAGAUAAGGUUUCUCCAAACUACCUAGUUUCUGUGAUAAGGAGCUGUGAAUUUCAAAAUUUGUAAUCUAUUGAUGGAUGGGGAAGUGAUUUGGCUCUGAGUUGGGAAUUGAUGCAUGCAAUGGUUUUUACUUGGGGAUAGGUCAUCCUAAGCAUGAGUUUAUGUAUGCAUUAAAAGCUGUCAAGUACUAAUGCAACUGUGAGCUCCUUUGACUAGCCUAAGGGAUGUAAGCCUACAAGUAAACACAAUGUGAGGCCGGUGGCCUAUGAUUAGUCAUUCCGAUGCUCAAGUCAUAUAAUUGAUUGAGAGAGUAAUGUAUGUAGAGAUUUCAG
rnacentral:misc_RNA from 1 species